AUACGUAGGUGACAAGCGUUAUCCGGAUUUACUGGGCGUAAAGGGCGUGUAGGCGGUCUUGCAAGUCAGAAGUGAAAUUCCUGAGCUCAACUCGGGCGCUGCUUCUGAAACUGCAGGACUUGAGUGCUGGAGGGGAUAGCGGAAUUCCUAGUGGAGCGGUAAAAUGCGCAGAUAUUAGGAAGAACACCGGUGGCGAAGGCGGAUAGCUGGACAGUAACUGACGCUGAGGCGCGAAAGCGUGGGGAGCAAACAGGAUUAGAUCCCCGGGUAGUCCACGCCGUAAACGAUGAAUACUAGGUGUAGGGGGUAUCGACUCCCUCUGUGCCGCAGUUAACACAAUAAGUAUUCCACCUGGGGAGUGCGAUCGCAAGAUUGAAACUCAAAGGAAUUGGCGGGG
rnacentral:rRNA from 1 species